rnacentral:misc_RNA from 1 species
ACAACGGUCCGUGUUGUAACUGAAAUUUAAAACAAUUUUAAAAGCCGAAAAUAUUAGCUAUAAUAUGAAACUAUACUAUCUCUUUUUGACAGCAAUUGCUUUUAAUUUGAACAAUAAUUUCGUUUUCUGUAAGAAACGUGUUAUAAAUUUCGAACGACCCAGAAUAUUGUUUAAUGACAAGACGUACUUCAAAGAUUCCACCGUUACGUCGAGAAGAUAUAAUCGUUCAAAUCCACUUUAUUUUGUUACAUUGGAAUUCGAAUUAG